AUUGAACGCUGGCGGCAUGCCUUACACAUGCAAGUCGAACGGCAGCACGGGAGCAAUCCUGGUGGCGAGUGGCGAACGGGUGAGUAAUAUAUCGGAACGUGCCCAGUCGUGGGGAUAACGUAGCGAAAGCUACGCUAAUACCGCAUACGAUCUAUGGAUGAAAGCGGGGGAUCGCAAGACCUCGCGCGAUUGGAGCGGCCGAUAUCAGAUUAGGUAGUUGGUGAGGUAAAGGCUCACCAAGCCGACGAUCUGUAGCUGGUCUGAGAGACGACCAGCCACACUGGGACUGAGACACGGCCAGACUCCUACGGGAGGCAGCAGUGGGGAAUUUUGGACAAUGGGCGCAAGCCUGAUCCAGCAAUGCCG
rnacentral:rRNA from 1 species